CAGCUCAGAGAUCUCGGCCUCUGCCUUCUUUCUUUUCUCCUCCAAGGCAGCCCUCAGGUCUGCCGAGGUUUGUCCCUCCUUCUGCAGCGUCUCUUGGAGACUCGUGACUUCGAUGAUCUUCUCUUUGAGGCGGGCGACCUUGGCCAGGCGACCUUCCUCCGCCUAGACUGCUUCCCUCUUGGCGUUAUUCAUCGCCUCGAUGUUGGCGAUGAGCUGGUGUCCAAUCUGCAAAAGCGACCAGUG
rnacentral:lncRNA from 1 species